rnacentral:ncRNA from 1 species
GACGAUGAAUUAUAUCGGAGCAGAAUAAAACUAGAGAAAAUUCUGAUGAAAGUCCGGAACAAUUCUGACGUUCAAAUCGAUCGUCUCAUCUUGAUGUAGGGACGAAAGAAAUAUGUUCU